GACGAACGCUGGCGGCGUGCUUAACACAUGCAAGUCGAGCGGUAAGGCCCUUUCGGGGGUACACGAGCGGCGAACGGGUGAGUAACACGUGGGUGACCUGCCCUCAGCUCGUGGGAUAACGCCCGGGAAACUGGGUCUAAUACUGGAUAUGACUCCAUGACGCAUGUUGUGGGGUGGAAAGCCUUGUGCGGCUGAGGAUGGGCCCGCGGCCUAUCAGCUUGUUGGNGGGGUGAUGGCCUACCAAGGCGACGACGGGUAGCCGGCCUGAGAGGGCGACCGGCCACACUGGGACUGAGACACGGCCCAGACUCCUACGGGAGGCAGCAGUGGGGAAUAUUGCGCAAUGGGCGAAAGCCUGACGUAGCGACGCCGCGUGAGGGAUGACGGCCUGGU
rnacentral:rRNA from 1 species